rnacentral:rRNA from 1 species
UGAGUAACCUGCCCUUCACUCUGGGAUAACUCCGGGAAACCGGGGCUAAUACUGGAUAUGACCUGAC